CGCGUAGGCGGUUUGAUAAGUCAGAUGUGAAGCCCACGGCUUAACUGUGGAAGUGCAUUUGAAACUGUCAGACUUGAGUAUCAGAGGGGAAAGUGGAAUUCCCGGUGUAGAGGUGAAAUUCGUAGAUAUCGGGAGGAAUACCGGUGGCGAAGGCGACUUUCUGGCUGAAUACUGACGCUGAGGCGCGAAAGCGUGGGGAGCAAACA
rnacentral:rRNA from 1 species